rnacentral:rRNA from 1 species
GAUGAACGCUGGCGGCGUGCCUAACACAUGCAAGUCGAGCGGAGGUUAUUGAGAGCUUGCUUUUGAUAAUCUUAGCGGCGGACGGGUGAGGAACACGUGGGUAAUCUGCCCUUUGCAGAGGGACAACAGUGAGAAAUCACUGCUAAUACCUCAUAAGCUCCCGCUAUGGCAUCAUAGAGAGAGAAAAGAUUAAUCGGCAAAGGAGGGGCCCGCGGCUGAUUAGCUAGUUGGAGAGGUAACGGCUCACCAAGGCGACGAUCAGUAGCCGACCUGAGAGGGUGAUCGGCCACAUUGGAACUGAGAGACGGUCCAA